AGGGCGGGACACGUGAUAUCCUGUCUGAAUAUGGGGGGACCAUCCUCCAAGGCUAAAUACUACUGACUGACCGAUAGUGAACCAGUACCGUGAGGGAAAGGCGAAAAGAACCCCUGUGAGGGGAGUGAAAUAGAACCUGAAACCGUGUACGUACAAGCAGUAGGAGCAGGCUUUGUCCUGUGACUGCGUACCUUUUGUAUAAUGGGUCAGCGACUUAUAUUCAGUGGCAAGGUUAACCAUCUAGGGGAGCCGUAGGGAAACCGAGUCUUAACUGGGCGUUCAGUCUCUGGAUAUAGACCCGAAACCAGGUGAUCUAGCCAUGGGCAGGUUGAAGGUUGAGUAACAUCAACUGGAGGACCGAACCGACUAAUGUUGAAAAAUUAGCGGAUGACUUGUGGCUAGGGGUGAAAGGCCAAUCAAACCUGGAGAUAGCUGGUUCUCCCCGAAAGCUAUUUAGGUAGCGCCUCGGACGAAUACUACUGGGGGUAGAGCACUGUUAAGGCUAGGGGGUCAUCCCGACUUACCAACCCUUUGCAAACUCCGAAUACCAGUAAGUACUAUCCGGGAGACACACGGCGGGUGCUAACGUCCGUCGUGGAGAGGGAAACAACCCAGACCGCCAGCUAAGGUCCCAAAUUACUACUAAGUGGGAAACGAUGUGGGAAGGCUCAGACAGCCAGGAUGUUGGCUUAGAAGCAGCCAUCAUUUAAAGAAAGCGUAAUAGCUCACUGGUCGAGUCGGCCUGCGCGGAAGAUGUAACGGGGCUAAGUAGUAAACCGAAGCUGCGGCAAUACUCUUUGAGUAUUGGGUAGGGGAGCGUUCUGUAAGCGGUUGAAGGUGUGUGGUAACGCAUGCUGGACGUAUCAGAAGUGCGAAUGCUGACAUGAGUAACGAUAAAGGGGGUGAAAAACCUCCUCGCCGGAAGACCAAGGGUUCCUGUCCAACGUUAAUCGGGGCAGGGUAAGUCGACCCCUAAGGCGAGGCCGAAAGGCGUAGUCGAUGGGAAACGGGUUAAUAUUCCCGUACUUCUUACAAUUGCGAUGGGGGGACGGAGAAGGCUAGGUGGGCCUGGCGACGGUUGUCCAGGUUCAAGUGCGUAGGCUUAAGAGUUAGGUAAAUCCGGCUCUUUUUAAGGCUGAGACACGACGUCGAGCACCUACGGGUGUGAAGUCAUUGAUGCCAUGCUUCCAGGAAAAGCCUCUAAGCUUCAGAUUGUAAGGAAUCGUACCCCAAACCGACACAGGUGGUCGGGUAGAGAAUACCAAGGCGCUUGAGAGAACUCGGGUGAAGGAACUAGGCAAAAUGGUACCGUAA
rnacentral:rRNA from 1 species